rnacentral:rRNA from 1 species
CCUACGGGAGACUGCAGUGAGGAAUAUUGGUCAAUGGACGCAAGUCUGAACCAGCCAUGCCGCGUGCAGGAAGACGGCUCUAUGAGUUGUAAACUGCUUUUAGUUGGGAAUAAAAGGGGGCUCGUGAGCCCCGUAUUGUAUGUACCAUCAGAAAAAGGACCGGCUAAUUCCGUGCCAGCAGCCGCGGUAAUACGGAAGGUCCGGGCGUUAUCCGGAUUUAUUGGGUUUAAAGGGAGCGUAGGCCGGCUUUUAAGUCAGCUGUGAAAGUCCGCGGCUCAACCGUGGAAUUGCAGUUGAAACUGGAGGCCGUGAGUGCACACAGGGAUGCCGGAAUUCAUGGUGUAGCGGUGAAAUGCUUAGAUAUCAUGAAGAACUCCGAUCGUGAAGGCAAGUGUCCGGGGUGCAACUGACGCUGAGGCUCGAAAGUGCGGGUAUCAAACAGGAUUAGAUACCCCAGUAGUC